GUGAGGAAUAUUGCGCAAUGGAGGCAACUCUGACGCAGCCAUGCCGCGUGCAGGAAGAAGGCGCUACGCGUUGUAAACUGCUUUUAACCGGGAAGAAACCCCAGGACGUGUCCUGGGUUGACGGUACCGGAGGAAUAAGCACCGGCUAACUUCGUGCCAGCAGCCGCGGUAAUACGAAGGGUGCAAGCGUUAUCCGGAUUCAUUGGGUUUAAAGGGUGCGUAGGCGGAGCGUUAAGUCAGUGGUGAAAUCCUGCAGCUUAACUGUAGACUUGCCAUUGAUACUGGCGCUCUUGAGUGCGCUUGAAGUGGGCGGAAUGUGCCGUGUAGCGGUGAAAUGCUUAGAUAUGUCACAGAACACCAAUUGCGAAGGCAGCUCACUAAGGCGAUACUGACGCUGAGGCACGAAAGCGUGGGGAUCGAACAGGAUUAGAUACCCUAGUAGUCC
rnacentral:rRNA from 1 species